rnacentral:rRNA from 1 species
GGGAACAUACCCUUUUCUACGGAAUAGCUCUGGGAAACUGGAAUUAAUACCGUAUACGCCCUACGGGGGAAAGAUUUAUCGGGGAAGGAUUGGCCCGCGUUGGAUUAGCUAGUUGGUGGGGUAAAGGCCUACCAAGGCGACGAUCCAUAGCUGGUCUGAGAGGAUGAUCAGCCACAUUGGGACUGAGACACGGCCCAAACUCCUACGGGAGGCAGCAGUGGGGAAUAUUGGACAAUGGGCGCAAGCCUGAUCCAGCCAUGCCGCGUGAGUGAUGAAGGCCUUAGGGUUGUAAAGCUCUUUCACCGAUGAAGAUAAUGACGGUAGUCGGAGAAGAAGCCCCGACUAACUUCGUGCCAGCAGCCGCGGUAAUACGAAGGGGGCUAGCGUUGUUCGGAAUUACUGGGCGUAAAGCGCACGUAGGCGGAUAUUUAAGUCAGGGGUGAAAUCCCAGAGCUCAACUCUGGAACUGCCUUUGAUACUGGGUAUCUUGAGUAUGGAAGAGGUAAGUGGAAUUGCGAGU